AAUGAUUGCUGACAGAUGUUGUAAAAACAGCAUUAUGCUAACCAUUAAGCUUAAUUUUGUUCUCAGUUACUAACGCACAUGGCAUAGUAUGACUCUUACUCACAUCACCUCUAUGUAAAUCAUGGACUUUCCUCCAGGGGUACGGAAUCCAGAACAGAAUUUAUCCUGUUGACCUUCUCUGAGAUCCUCACUGCUUCUCCCAGGAGCUCUCCAAGCAAAUUGAAGUUAAUGGGGUGGCAGCUUUGUUGGUAAGUAACAUCCAGUCGAGUGCUUAAACCCUCAAACAUAGUUCUGUGGCUUCAGGUCAGUGCUUUGAAAUUGGAACUCCUGUUCUCUGAUCUUUCCUUUCACUCGCUGUAGGUGAGGUAGGCCUGAAACCCACUGAGGUGCCUAUUGCACUGUAUGUCUGGGAGCUCAGCCCUGUGUUUUUGAAUUCCAUGAAACAAAGGUCUUUGCAGAGGGCUUUAAAGAGCCUUUUAUCAGUGGUGAACUUUCAGAUGGCAAACGCCAGGAGCUCUGUCUAAAAUGGAAGGAACAUUGUAUAAACCUGGAGAUAAGCUCUGACUUCAGGGAGCUGUGAGCCUUCAUAGAGUUGUAUUUUCAGCUCUGCUCAGUGCAGGAGCAUGGCUUCCCUCCCCCGAUUUGGAUCUGAGGUCUAGUUUUUCUUGCCCUGCCUGUGCGUUUGAGUUGUGUACAGCUCCUCAGGCACUGCCAGGUUUACAUUAGGUGACUGGCUGCAAAGUAGGACUGUCAGUGUCUCCCUUGGUAUCCCAUAUUCCUGGGUGUUGACAGGAGCUCAGGCUGACAUUACCACACAGCCCAGAUGUGCAUUCAGGCCAGUCCAGCGUUGCUGUAGGAUGGUGGGGAUCUGAUGGCCUGCCUGAGUGGUUCCAGAACAGGAACCAGUGGGGAAGCAGGAAUAGCAAUGUUAUGGUGGAGCCCACUGUUACGGUUAGAGCUUGUUAACUCCUCUCCUGAUAGGGAACAGGGACGUCAUUCUGCUUUCUUAAAGCUCCAGUGUUUUGCCUGAUAGGUGAGGGAUGUAGAGCGGGUGCACAAGCUUGGUGUUCUAUUGACAGAGAGGGGUUGUAGGUCUCUUCUGUAGAUGGGGAAGAGUAGGGGUGUGUUAGAAGAAGGGGUGGAGGAAGAGAGUCUGAACUGCAGUGUGGGUGCUGGUCUUGCCUGUUACAUCAGCCUGUUGCUGAUGCCACUGGUUACUUAGCAGGUUUUCUCCUCAUGCAGUUGUUUAAAAAGUAAAAGUAGCAGUUGAAAUGUGCACAAGGCAGCACUGCUCUCUGCUGCCUCUUCCCCUGCAAUGACAGCAGCACUUCUGUACGUUUGGUGAACCCGGAGAACAGAUUCUGUUUAAAGUCGUGUUUUUGUUUGCUUGUUUGGGGCCUUGGUUUGUUGUUCUGGUUUUGUUUCGUUCCCUUGGGAUGGCUCUGGCUGACUAAUUUUACAGCCUGUUGUUUUUCAGAUGCAGAUGUCACCCUGGGGAGAGAAUGGGGCAAGGACAAGUUCAGCAGUCACCAGAUAAGGAAGACCACUUUUUUUCCAUCAAUUUGCAGAGAUUUGGCAGGGCUUUAAGCAACACUAUAAUUGUCCUAAAGACGGAUUUGUUUGUACAACCUGGCAGCCAGAGCGUGUGUUCUCCACAAGAGUUCCUCCCUUUUAGCCACAUUUGCAACACUUCCCAGACCAGUUUGUCCAUUCACCUUCCAGCUUGAAACCCUUGUUUCAGGGCAGGUUUGUUUCUUCUACUGUAUUUUUACUGCCCCUUGAGUGACAUCAUUCACAUGGUGAGUCUCUGAGAGAUGAUUCAUACUGAAAAAGAUCUAAUAAUUGUUACCAGUUAUUCAAAUCAGUGUUACUGAUUUCCCGCAUCCUCCCACUGGUCCCUUGAGCUCCCACACCCACUCGUUUUUCCUAAUAAUUCCCAGGCUUUCUGGCUGUGUGCUCACUGUGCCCUCCUCGGUGUUACUGUGCUAAGGUGUAAGUAUCUCGCCCUCCCCUGAGGAGCACUUAGGGCUUGGCUGCAGCAGCUUGUGUAGGCAGAUACAGGCUGAGCUGAACUGGCAAGGUAGAGGUGGAUUGACGAGCGCUGGCCUCAGUAAAGCUUCAAACUGCUUUCACAGCACAUCUUCUGUUUCACUGCUGUGUUGGUAUUGUUGGCAGCCUCUGAGGUGGCUUGUUCAAAGCUAGAUGAGUAAUGUGUCUGCAGGCUGCGGUGUUGGGGUGCGUGGAGCUAUGAACUAGAUUCUGCUGAGAAGUUCUGCAAGGUAUUGGGGUGAUUGCGUGCUCUGUGCUAGCAAAGACUUGCACCAGCAGUGACCCUGUUCGUAGUGGAGAAUGUUUCUUUUGUUUCACAAAUACUGGUGUAUAACUCAUGAAGUUCCUCCUGUGCCAUGAACUGAACUCUGUGCUGUGCAAUGAUUCACACCAUCAGUGUAAAAAGCCAACUGUUGGUGGGAGCAGCCAUGUACUGUUCAUCCAGCUCCUCAGUCUGGCCCCGUAUUCCCAUCACACUCUUUCUAUAUAUCCCUGCGUUUUUGAUCUUCCCUGUUCAAGACCCUUCCACUUCUGUGAAUUCACCUUUGUCGUUCUUUUUCUUGCCAGGGGCACACUUGAUUUUGCCCAGGGUUGCAUCUUGAGUUACAUCAAGUUACGUUUUGAGUAUUAGAGAUGGAAAGGGGUAAAUCUGGGUAUGUUUUGAUGUUCAUGUUUCUGCAUGCAGUGAACCCAGCCCAGAACAAGCCUGUGGCUCUUAUGGAGAGAUCUGCUUUACGUGGCAGCAUCCUUUUGUGUUGCAUUGGAUCCAGCACUGUGUGCAGGGCUGCAGUGCCCUGUGUGCUGUAUGUUGGCCUGGCAGGAUGAGCUCAUACAAAUAGUGUCAGAGCUGCCCUUGCUGGAAUAGGAAGGAAUAGGAAUUUAUGGCUGUUGCAUCUGCAGUAAAGCUGGCACCACAGCCCUUGUUCGUCAGCAGUAGGACAGCAGAGGGGGGGAAAAAAGCCCGGUGUAACCUUUGGUGUGUUAUUUAUUAUCACUUUGCAGCCCUCUGGAAAAUGAACUUUAGAAAAUUCUGUGCGGAUGGUAACGAUGAGCACUGGGAAAACCCAGGAAUCAGCAAAUCCAUUGUGUUGCGCUGACAGAAAGAUACUGUUACAACACACUUUAGCUGCCAACUUGCUGCAGUCACUCAAUCCAUCAUGGUGGGCUGUUGGAUCACAAGGCAGUGAAACUCAGCCUGGCGUGUUAUUUUAGUCUUACAUGGACUGUGAGAUAAACGGGGCAUGAACCAGCCCCCUGGCAGGGGGUCGACCCCUAGCGCCCUCAUUAAAGUGCCAAUCAAAAAGAGUAAUGGAACAGGGAAUGGAAAGCUGGCUUCUUCAGCCUGUUACUGCACGCAGGCUGAGCAACGUGCACAAGCCAAGGGAAACAUUUCUUUGCUGAAGAGGAGCCAGGCUGCCAGAAAUACCUCGUCUCUCCUUGUCUCUGUGUGCGCGAUGCUGAGACCCUCCUGUGGUGGAAGCCUGUGGUGGGAGCCUGUUUCUUACCACAGUGGGAAGAAGAAGUGUGGCUGAAUGUAACCCAGAAAGGACUGAAAAUUAACUCACCAUAAUACCUCUGUAGGAAUAACAAAUCUGGUUAAAGGCUUCUCUUGCCUGGAGGGUUGCUGGUGGCUGCAGGGUGAUGCGUGGUCACAGGAAGGAGCCAUCCAGCCAUGCUUUGUUGCUGCCUGUUGUAAUGGCUCUUCUAGGUGCUGUGGAGCUGCAGUCAGACCGUGUUGUGGUAAAGAAGAGAAAGCAGCAAGACACCGGGCCUUGCACUUCACUAUGGGAUCUUAAGGCCUCCUUCCAUGAGUGACUGUGCUUUGUUACAGCUGAGAUGUGCGGACCCAGUGGCAGCGUGAGGACCCAGCCUGAUGUACACAGCUGGUGUUGCUUUACUCAUGUUCUCUGGCUCAGAAAAUCUGAUGGUAAAGACCUUAGGAAAGGAGGAAUCUCAGUCCUAGAGAAACUGACCUGGCCUCUGUUAAUGAAACAUUAACAUGAGGUAGAUUUGAACUGUCCUGAUUCCUUUUUAAGGCUACCAGAGCACUGGAUCAACUACCAGUAAGCUGGAAUGGAUUUGAACCAAUAAUAAGCAUGAGGAAUUGGUGAUGGUUUCAAUCCUAGCCCCGUAUUUGAUAAAACAGCAUCAUCACUUGUACUGACAAAGCAGCUGCCAUCAAACCUGGACUGGAGUGCAGAGCUCUGCUCCUGGUCUGUUUGUUUCAGAGAAGACAACACUGUGAUCCUUGUUUAUAACAACUACAUUCUUAAGAAUGGAAGUAUGAGGAGUACAGCCUUCACUUUGCAAGCUGUCAGUAACCUGCAAUGUACACCCAGGACGCUGCUUUUCAGUGCUGGACACCAGAGCUGAAUUAGCUGUGAUCAGAAAAUACAGCAACAUUCUUUAAGGAAGAGAAGCAGAACAAGGAAGAUUUUCCUUAUGGGUGUCAUCAUCUGGUGCUUCGUGCCCUGCAUGAAUCAGGUCAAUGCUCAGUUGUUACAGUGAAGAAAAAAGGAUUGUUUGGGUUUUUUAAAAGUCAUUUAUAUUUGCCUGGUCCAAGAUCAAGACCAAGGCUGCAGUUGAUGAGAGAACAGUGAAGUGGCAGAAAGCACCACGCGCUGUGAGAAAUGAGCUAGCAUACAUUGAACCCCUCGUUGUGAUGAUGAUUUACUUUUCUGUUUUCCACAAAAACAUAAGCACUGCACUGUUGGAUUAAACAGCAUUCGCAGCUUAAGCUGUUCAACCGGCAUCGAGUUGAUUUAUUGGAAAAGUCUAUUCAAGAGCAGAAGGAAGUUUAUUGUCCACAUCUUGCAUGUUGUUUAGCUUAUUUCAGACAUAUCUCAUUGUGUAUUUCCUGUUUCAUUGCCUAUAAUUUAUUUAAAGAUGGUUCAGUUGGAGUAGGUAACAAGAUUGUUUAUGGUCCGGCAGUGGCUGUUAUGAAAACUCCUUCAGCGUGGUGUUACUGCAGUACACGCACACCCUCAUCCUGCUUGGAUCGAGUGCAUAAGGGUUAGUACAGUUUUUCUCCCAAUCCAUCCCAUCUUUCUCUUCCAUAGACCUGAUCUGCUCUGCUCACCUGUGAUGUGCUACAACCUGCUACCAGCCAACGACUGUCUCCAGGAAUUAAACCUACUUACAAAAGUCUUCUGAAAUUUCAAGGCAAUCUACUUCCAUGGCUGCAAUUCCUGUCUCCUCAAAUAAAUCCAGGCUGAAUGAUACUUACUGCCUUCAUUAAGCUCAGCACUAUGUGUGAUUUGAAUACCAUCAGCUCCAGACUGAUCGCUGCAGUCCACUCUGGCAGUACGGAAGAUGUUUCAAGAGUCCAGCUCUAAUUGUUCUUGAUUCUCACUGAGUCUUAACAUAAGCUGUUGUUCAUAAUAAAGGCUCUUUGCAUAGUUUA